rnacentral:rRNA from 1 species
AUUGAACGCUGGCUGCAGGCCUAACACAUGCAAGUCGAACGAGUGGCGGACGGGUGAUUAAUGUCUGGGAAACUGCCCGAUGGCGGUGGAUAACUACUGGAAACGGUAGCUAAUACCGCAUACCAUCGGAUGUGCCCCGAUGGGAUUAGCUAGUAGUGGGGGUAACGGCUCCCCUAGGCGACGAUCCCUAGCUCGUCUGAGAGGUUGACCAGCCACACUGGAACGGAGACACGGCCCAUACCUCGACGGGAGGCAGAAGUGGGGAAUAUUGCAAAAUGGGCGAAAGCCUGAUGCAGCCAUGCCGCGUGUAUGAAGAAGGCCUUCGGGUUGUAAAGUACUUUCAGCGAGGAGGCGUUACUCGCAGAAGAAGCACCGGCUAACUCCGUGCCAGCAGCCGCGGUAAUAC